UACAGAGGUCUCAAGCGUUGUUCGGAUUCAUUGGGCGUAAAGGGUGCGUAGGCGGCGCGGUAAGUCGGGUGUGAAAUCUUGGAGCUUAACUCCGAAACUGCAUUCGAUACUGCCGUGCUUGAGGACUGGAGAGGAGACUGGAAUUUACGGUGUAGCGGUGAAAUGCGUAGAUAUCGGGAGGAAUACCAGUGGCGAAGGCGGCCUUCUGGACUGACACUGACGCUGAGGCGCGAAAGCUAGGGGAGCAAACGGG
rnacentral:rRNA from 1 species